GAUGAACGCUGGCGGCGUGCCUAAUACAUGCCAGUCGAGCGAACAGACGAGGAGCUUGCUCCUCUGACGUUAGCGGCGGACGGGUGAGUAACACGUGGAUAACCUACCUAUAAGACUGGGAUAACUUCGGGAAACCGGAGCUAAUACCGGAUAAUAUAUUGAACCGCAUGGUUCAAUAGUGAAAGACGGUUUUGCUGUCACUUAUAGAUGGAUCCGCGCCGCAUUAGCUAGUUGGUAAGGUAACGGCUUACCAAGGCAACGAUGCGUAGCCGACCUGAGAGGGUGAUCGGCCACACUAGAACUGAGACACGGUCCAGACUCCUACGGGAGGCAGCAGUAGGGAAUCUUCCGCAAUGGGCGAAAGCUUGACGGAGCAACGCCGCGUGAGUGAUGAAGGUCUUCGGAUCGUAAAACUCUGUUAUUAGGGAAGAACAAAUGUGUAAGUAACUAUGCACGUCUUGACGGUACCUAAUCAGAAAGCCACGGCUAACUACGUG
rnacentral:rRNA from 1 species